UGCUGUCCAGUUCUCCCAGCACCAUUUGUUAAAGAGACUGUCUUUUUUCCAUUGGAUGUUCUUUCCUGCUUUGUCAAAGAUGAGUUGGCCAUGUGUCUGUGGGUCCAUUUCUGGGUUUUCUUUUAAUAU